UAUUACCGCGGCUGCUGGCACGGAGUUAGCCGGUGCUUCUUCUGCGGGUAACGUCAAUGAGUAAAGGUAUUAACUUUACUCCCUUCCUCCCCGCUGAAAGUACUUUACAACCCGAAGGCCUUCUUCAUACACGCGGCAUGGCUGCAUCAGGCUUGCGCCCAUUGUGCAAUAUUCCCCACUGCUGCCUCCCGUAGGA
rnacentral:rRNA from 1 species